rnacentral:rRNA from 2 species
CACUCUAAGGGGACUGCCGGUGAUAAGCCGGAGGAAGGUGGGGAUGACGUCAAGUCCUCAUGGCCCUUACGGGCUGGGCUACACACGUGCUACAAUGGUGGUGACAGUGGGCAGCGAAGCCGCGAGGCUGAGCUAAUCUCCAAAAGCCAUCUCAGUUCGGAUUGCACUCUGCAACUCGAGUGCAUGAAGUUGGAAUCGCUAGUAAUCGUGGAUCAGCAUGCCACGGUGAAUACGUUCCCGGGCCUUGUACACACCGCCCGUCACACCAUGGGAGUUGGUUUUACCCGAAGGUGCUGUGCUAACCGCAAGGAGGCAGGCAACCACGGUAGGGUCAGCGACUGGGGUGAAGUCGUAACAAGGUACCCGUA